CCUACCUCCGGGGGGAUACGCCUAGGCCAAAUAGCAAUACGCACGGUGAGCCCGACAGCGCGUCGGCGGAUACGGGGCGUCCUUGCCGUCCUUCGCGACUGCCUCGCCGUACAUGGACGGCAUGGAGCUGCCAUGGACCCCCAUCCGCUGCUCCCACUCUCGCAUUUCAAUUUUGAAUCUCACGGGCUACCUUUCCCCUUCCUCCAUCUUCGUCAAGACGGCAGAGCUCGCCGUUCGCCGCAUCUGGAAGAGAGCUGGGAAGGGAGGAUUCGAGUGGCCGGGCGCUCAUAGAUGAUGAUGGGCGGAGAAUUUGAGGGAUUCACCGACCUGCUCAUCAGAUUGUCAAGGCCAAUCCACGAAUUUGGCGCCUGAUUUGUUACCAAGCAUUCCGAUUCAUUCUUCCGAGACAAGCGCCCACACUUCGCCGUCCAGCUUGAGUUUUGAUUCCAGCGUGCGAGUGACUGAUCCAUGGCAAGCCGGAUUUGGGGAGGACGGAGACUGCAGCAACGAGCCAGUACACGAUGGCGUCGAUUCGCCCUUUUCAGCAGAAGUUGUCUUCUCAGCGCCAGAGUUGCAGAAUGAAUCACCCACGACUGCUGAUUCGCAUAUGCCGCCGUCAAGCGAGUCCCCUCCAUCAGAGCGCACCUGGAAUCUGAGUUUACUAUGAAUAAGCCUGAGAACUUUGGGGCAAUAAGCAAGCUCGCGUGGUGCCCUGACUGUCUUGCAUCUCAGCUGUCAUAUAUAAGUUGUGGCAUACAAAACUGGAAACUCGAUUAUCGCUCAGGGCACCAUUAGUACGUUCCCCGCUUUAUCUGUCUAUUUGUGGGCUGCAAUGGUAUCUCCAAUCUAAUGCUGGUGGGCUAGGUUCCAUGUGAAAUCAGCAAGAGGAAAACUGAUUAUGGCACUCAAUCAGGUCUGAGCAAAGUUUUCUGAUGGAGACGUGGACGUUUCUCUCACCGAGGCACGGAGGAUGGCUGGUGGUGGUGCUUGCCAUGCCCUCAAGAGCCAGCCUCCCAAGCUGUUGCUGGUGCUUGCCUCCCUGCCGGAGCUGCUGCUCCUAAUGCCGUCCACCACUAUGUCCUGCUGCUGCCGAUUAACUUCCAACCGCUCUUGACACAUGGACCAUAUGGAAGGAAGCAUAGAAGAUGUGAGGCAUUUUUGGUGAUCUGAGAGAGAACGAUAUGGCAGGGAACUUAGUAUGAAUUUUGAAAAUGGUGAACAAUAGGAUAUGACAUGUGAUAAGUUGUGAUUUCUCAAAUACUUAACAAUUAUGACAUGAUUUUGGUGACCCCUAUUCAGAAUAGGGCAUCUACAAUGCUCUCUUUUUAUGUGUAAAUAUGGAUGUGUUUGGGUUAA